rnacentral:rRNA from 1 species
GGAGGAAAGCAGGGGAUCGAAAGACCUUGUGCUUUUGGAGCGGCCGAUGUCUGAUUAGCUAGUUGGUGGGGUAAAGGCCUACCAAGGCGACGAUCAGUAGUUGGUCUGAGAGGACGACCAGCCACACUGGGACUGAGACACGGCCCAGACUCCUACGGGAGGCAGCAGUGGGGAAUUUUGGACAAUGGGCGCAAGCCUGAUCCAGCAAUGCCGCGUGAGUGAAGAAGGCCUUCGGGUUGUAAAGCUCUUUCAGUCGAGAAGAAAAAGCUGUGGUGAAUAACUGCGGUUUAUGACGGUAUCGACAGAAGAAGCACCGGCUAACUACGUGCCAGCAGCCGCGGUAAUACGUAGGGUGCGAGCGUUAAUCGGAAUUACUGGGCGUAAAGGGUGCGCAGGCGGUUUUGUAAGUCAGAUGUGAAAUCCCCGGGCUUAACCUGGGAAUUGCGUUUGAAACUACAAAGCUAG